UACCCCUGUAUGCGAAAUUGACUGUAAGCCCAGAAGGAUCCCAAGUAGGUCGGAACACGUGAAACUCUGACUGAAUCCGGGGGGCCCACCCUCCAAGCCUGAAUACUCGAUCGUGACCGAUAGCGCAUAGUACCGCGAGGGAAAGGUGAAAAAGUACCCCGGAAGGGGAGUGAAAAGUAUCUGAAAUCAUGUGUCUACAAAGUGUCGGAGCGAAAGCGACGGCAUGCCUUUUGCAUAAUGAGCCUGCGACUUACUCUAACGAGCGAGGUUAAGCCGAGUGCGGAGCCGAAGCGAAAGCGAGUGUGAAUAGCGCGUCUAGUUCGUUGGAGUAGACCCGAAGCUGAGUGAUCUAUCCAUGGCCAGGUUGAACCUGCAGUAACAUGCAGCGGAGGACCGAACCAGUUCAUGUUGAAAAAUGUUUGGAUGAGCUGUGGAUAGGGGUGAAAGGCCAAUCAAACUCAGUGAUAGCUGGUUCUCUUCGAAAUAGCUUUAGGGCUAGCCUUGCGUAAAUAGUUUGUGGGGGUAGAGCUACUGAUUGUUCGCGGGCCCUUACCGGGGUACCAAGAACUAUUAAACUCCGAAUACCAUGAACCGUACCGCAGGAGUCAGACUAUGGGGGAUAAGCUUCAUGGUCGAGAGGGAGACAGCCCAGACCGCCGGCUAAGGUCCCCAAUCCGGACUUAGUGGUUUGAAGGAUGUGAUGUUGCAUAAACAGCCAGGAUGUUGGCUUAGAGGCAGCCAUCAUUUAAAGAGUGCGUAAUAGCUCACUGGUCGAGUGAUAUCGCGCCGAAGAUGAUCGGGACUGAAGUCCAGAACCGAAGCCGCGGAUCGUGAAUUUAUUCACGGUGGUAGAAGAGCGUUGUAUGCGGGUCGAAGCCGAAGAGGGAUCUGAGGUGGACUGCAUACAAGUGACCAUGCAGGCAUGAGUAGCGAAAAACCGGAUGAGAAUUCCGGUCACCGAAAACCUAAGGUUUCCCGGGGAAGGUUCGUCCGCCCGGGGUUAGUCGGAACCUAAGGCGAGGCCGAAAGGCGUAGUCGAUGGAGGACAGGUUAAUAUUCCUGUACCACCUUGUUGGAGUGAUGGAGGGACGCAGUAAGUCAGGUGAGCCAACUGCUGAAUAUGUUGGUCGAAGGCCGUAGGGCGCACGAUAGGCAAAUCCGUCGUGCUUUCAACCCGAGAGUCGUAAGGUAGCCGAACGCAAGUUUGGCGAAUUCACUGUGACGACGCUGACGAGAAAAGCUUCUAAACGUUGAAAACAGGGUGUCCGUACCGAAACCGACACAGGUAGGUGAGGCGAGUAGCCUAAGGUGCGCGAGAGAAACCAACGUUAAGGAACUCGGCAAAUUGACCCCGUAACUUAGGGAUAAGGGGUGCCGCUUCAGGUGAAGGGACUUGCUCCCGGAGCCCAGAGCGGUUGCAACAAAGAGGCUGGUGCGACUGUUUAACAAAAACACAGCUCUAUGCUAACUCGCAAGAGGAUGUAUAUGGAGUGACACGUGACCAAUGCCAAAAGGUCAAUGGGAGAGGUUAGCGCAAGCGAAGCUUCGAUCUGAAGCCCUGGUGAAUGUCGGCCGUAACUAUAACGGUCCUAAGGUAGCGAAAUUCCUUGUCGGGUAAGUUCCGACCUGCACGAAUCGUGUAACGAUGCCAGCACUGUCUCAACGUGGAUCUCGGCGAAGUUGUAAUUCCGGUGAAAAUGCCGGAUACCUGCGGAAGGACGGAAAGACCCCAUGAACCUUUACUGUAAUCUGAUAUUGGUAUUUGAUUGCUCUUGUGUAGCAUAGGUGGGAGGCAGUGAAACCGCUACGCCAGUACCGGUGGAGCCACAGGUGAAAUACCACCCUGGUGUAAUUAGAUAUCUAACGGUGUCCCGUGAAUCCGGGCCCCGGACCGUGUCAGAGGGUCAGUUUGACUGGGGCGGUUUCCUCCUAAAUUGUAACGGAGGAGCCCGAAGGUACACUCAGCACGGUUGGCAAUCGUGUGCAGAGCGUAAGGGUAGAAGUGUGCUUUACUGUAAGACCGACAGGUCGAGCAGUUGCGAAAGCAGGGCCUAGUGAUCCAGCGAUGGAAUGUGGAAUCGUCGUUGCUCAACGGAUAAAAGGUACUCUGGGGAUAACAGGCUGAUAGCGCCCAAGCGUCCAUAGCGACGGCGCUGUUUGGCACCUCGAUGUCGACUCAUCACAUCCUGGGGCUGUAGAAGGUCCCAAGGG
rnacentral:rRNA from 1 species